AACGAACGCUGGCGGCGUGCUUAACACAUGCAAGUCGAACGAGAAAGGGUUUUCGGACCUGAGUAGAGUGGCGCACGGGUGAGUAAUACAUAGGAACAUACCUUAUGGUGGGGAAUAACUACGGGAAACUGUAGCUAAUACCGCAUGAGUUCGGAAGAAGAAAGAGGGCCUCUGCUUGCAAGCUCUUGCCAUAAGAAUGGCUUAUGUCCCAUUAGCUAGUUGGUGAGGUAAAGGCUCACCAAGGCGACGAUGGGUAGCUGGUCUGAGAGGAUGACCAGCCACACUGGAACUGAGACACGGUCCAGACUCCUACGGGAGGCAGCAGUGGGGAAUCUUGCACAAUGGGCGAAAGCCUGAUGCAGCAACGCCGCGUGGGUGAAGAAGGUUUUUGGAUUGUAAAGCCCUUUCGGCUAGGAAGAUGGGAUUUGUGGUUAAUAACCACAGAUUUUGACGGUACUAGAAGAAGAAGCACCGGCUAAUUUCGUGCCAGCCGCCGCAGUAAGAC
rnacentral:rRNA from 1 species